rnacentral:lncRNA from 1 species
GCUUCAUCAGCCUGUGCCAGCACAGUGCAAAAGACAGGCAAGCAACCCAGCCACCAAGGCAUUCACUGAAAUACAUAAUUGUGUCAUUAGAGGGUGCCAGUGCAUUGCGCUGCAGAGCAAGCCUGUCCCCCUCACCUGUCCCAGCUGUACUCCUCUGGCAGCUGGCCUAAAGAUGGGGCAGGAGUCAUCAGGGGCUGCACAAUGUUGCAAGCACAGCACAUCUAAAUUCCCUCUUUGGGAGUUCAAAUGGCAGAUCCAGCCUGGACGUGGAGCCGGGAAGGACGCAAGUGGUAGAUGCAAAGACCUGGGUGUCUAGGAGGGGAACCCAGUGUGACACAGGGAUGCUACCAGCUACCAGCUGUGGCUCCAGCUCUUGCAGAGGUUGCUUAGCCUCCUCCAUGGUAGGACCUGCACCACCGAGGCCACUGGAAAAACCAACAGGACAGAAAACUCACAGCAGGCACAGAGCAACUGAAAGAUGACCUAUCCAGCCCUGCAGUCAUCUCCAAGCUUUUCCAUGGCACUGCAGGUCUGGUGAAUGCCCUUCAGACCUCAAUCUGUCUAGCUGGGACCUGCUUUGGCUUUACAAUGAUCACCUCCAGACCAUUCACGUGCCUCCUCUGCUCCUCUGCGUUCAUGGCUUGCCGUGUUGCUGAGCUCCAGGUCCCCCUGCAGCGCCACACAGCUGGCAGGGCUCCCCAGCACUGCUCAGAGCUCCUGGAGAAAACCACAUAGGGACCUUGUGGCCUAAACACAGGCAAGAUUUCCGCAGUCCACAACGGUUCUGCCAAGCCACCAUUGAUCUUUUCUGCCGAAUCGGAGUCAGGCCAGCCCAUGAAUGAGGUACUGUUGCUGUUUUACUGCUGCUGGUGUCUUGGUUUCCCACAGCUUGAAAGCCUCUGGAGCAGAGUCAGCCAAACUGAAGCAUGCCUUGCCUCAGCAGCUGCACAGCACUCACUAAGGUAAGGGGAAUUUCCUCCUCGACCCUGGCAGCUGUAUGAGCGACGGGCUCCACCAUCCACUUGGGAGCAACCAGGGCUUGCCUGCCCAAACCCCUGGGGGACAGCACCCGGCAAUGCACCAGCUGGAGAGCAAGAUGAUCACACCUGCUUUUUGAACUCAAACCUGUAGGCCUGCU